UACGUAGGGGGCGAGCGUUAUCCGGAUUUACUGGGUGUAAAGAGCGCGUAGGCGGUUCCGUAAGUUGGUUGUGAAAGUUCGAGGCUCAACCUCGAAACUGCGUCCAAUACUGCGGGGCUGGAGUGCAAGAGAGGCAAGUGGAAUUCCAGGUGUAGUAGUGAAAUGCGUAGAUAUCAGGAGGAACACCAAUUGCGAAGGCAGCUCGCUGGGACGUUACUGACGCUGAGACGCGAAAGCGUGGGGAGCAAACAGG
rnacentral:rRNA from 1 species